CCGAGCUCUCCGCCCGGCGCCCGGUCCCAUUAGGGGCUGUUUAUUGCAAAGUAAAACCAACCUAUCGCAGCGGCGAAGGCACUUUGUCUCUGCCGGGUCCCUUUCGGAAAACCGGUGACCCGGCGGCCCGGCGCGUCUCGGGGCGGGGGCAGCACAGCGUGCACGGUCCUCUCCAAGCGUUUUGCUGGGGACAAGUGCCUUUCUCUGAGGUUUACAACUCGCCCCGGCUCUGCUCAGGCGCCCACGGUAGCCGGAACUGGGCUGCAGCCUCCCCAGAUCACACUAAACCCGAGCCGUUGCGAGGCCCCGGGUUGCCCAAAGAUUGACAACGAUCAGGAGCUAAGUCUGCUUUCCGGGGACCUCGUGGGGAGCUCUGUGCCCAGCACUUUUCUCUCGGACUCUCUGCUGGGGGAGAGAAAGAAAAGAAAAAAAAAGAAAAAGAAAAAGAAAAAGAAAAGUUUCUUUCGGGGGAAGCAGUGAAACAGGAAAUGAAGAUUCGCUCUGUAGUUUAGCUGAAAGGAAACGCUGUCUAAUCCUGACAUGUAUCGCAUUUAAAAUAAAAUUCUUUUAUCUUCAUGCGUGCCAAGCCCCCAGACAUUGUUCGGACUCCUACGGGGGGAAAGACGUCAUAAAAUGAGAAUUUGUUUCAUUGUGGGUCGCUCUGCCAACACCGGGCUUUAAAGGAACGCCAAACAAAGCGGGCGCCAGGAGGGGGCUUCCCAGGUAGAUGUCCCAUCUCUAAAAAUACUCUUGACUAUUGGAAACGUGGGCACCAGUACACACAGCUGAUGAGCUGCUCUAAGCCAGGGCUUGCUUCCAGCAACUCCCCUCACACCAAAU
rnacentral:lncRNA from 1 species